UACAGAGGUCUCAAGCGUUGUUCGGAUUCAUUGGGCGUAAAGGGUGUGUAGGUGGCGCGCUAAGUCGGGUGUGAAAUUUCGGAGCUUAACUCUGAAACUGCAUUCGAUACUGGCGUGCUUGAGGACUGGAGAGGAGACUGGAAUUCAUGGUGUAGCAGUGAAAUGCGUAGAGAUCAUGAGGAAGACCAGUGGCGAAGGCGGGUCUCUGGACAGUUCCUGACACUGAGACACGAAGGCCAGGGGAGCAAACGGGG
rnacentral:rRNA from 1 species